AGACAAACCAAGACUGUUCAUCAAGAUCUAAUGCCGUCCUGGAUAGAGUGAACUCAUUGCACUGCUCUAUGCUGGGCGGCACAGAGACAGUGGCAGAGGGAGCACCCUCCUGCUUUGUGAACCCACACACAACGUGGACGAUUUAGUCUCCCUCCAGCUGAGAAGACCGUGCCGCACACCCAGCGCCUUCUGAAGCACGUUGUUAACCGCGAUCCCCCACUUACGAAUGACACCUCCGCUCCUCCCAGACCGAGAGGACAGGACACGGUACACCACACACGAUGGAGAAACGGAGAGCGGAGAGCUCCUUGCCACAGAUCGCAACCCGACUCAGCCACAGACUUAGUAGAAACCUUAAUUUCCGUCCCAUGCUCUAAUUAUGGGAUGUUUCCUCCCACCUCGCUGUUACUUUUGUGGAGAUGAAGUAAUCUCCCUCGCGCCAUCCUACGGAGCCUCCUGUGUGCGUGCGGCCGUGGCUGAGUGCCAGGAGGGGGUUGGAGACAUGAAUGAAAUCCGGAGCUGUGCUUGAGGUUUGCCGGCUGAGCGUAGCUGGGGUGUGACACAAAGCUGCUCACGGGGUCCGCGUGUGUACGGCUCUGCUGGCCUCUGAUGCUCUGCUACUGCAGUUCGUAAAGAUUUUUUCAGGUUCCCAGCAGAAAAUGGGCCAAAUUUCUGAAUUUUGCACGUGAUAAAUCCUGUACAGAAAUACAAGCCUGAAAGGCCAUUCUGCAGGUAUAUUUUUCUGAUAAAAUAUGAUAUGUUUACUUGCACAGAAGAUUCUGGAGGAACAGACAGUGUCACUUUCCUGUAUAUGUUUCACUAAACCCUCGUGACGUGACCUGUAAGUGGGAUGGCGUGGUUUUGUCUGGUCAUCUCACUCAAUUUGCUUGACCUGUCUGGUGGCCUUCUGUGAUGGACCAGUGGCACUAGUGGAUGAAAGAAAAGCAAGUGAUGUCUUCUACUUGGGCUUGUGCAAGGCCUUUGACAUGGUCCUGCACCAUGGUCCUUAUCUCUAAACUGGAGAUGUGUGGAUUUGAAGGCUGAAGUAUUCAGUGGAUAAAGAGUUGGUUGGAUGGACACAGAGAGCUGUGGUCAAGGGCUCUGUGCCCAGGUGGAGGCCGGUCAUGAGUGGUGUCCCCCAGGGGUCCAUUUUGGGAUUGGUGCACUUCAGUGUUUUUAUCAACAGCAUCAACAGUGGGAUUGAGUGUACCCUCAACAAGUUUGAUGACAUCAAGCUGAGUGCUGCAAUUGAUAGACUAGGAGGAAGUGAUGCUGUCCAGAGGGACCUAGACAUGCUUGAAAAGUGGGCCUAUGAGAACUGGAUGAUGUUGAACAAGGCCAAAUACAAGAUAGUGCAUAUGGAUCAUGGCUAUCCCAGAUACAAGUACAGAGUGGGAGAACUCAUCGAGAGCAGCCCUGCAGAGAAGGACUUAGAGGUCCUGAUGGACAGAAAACUGGACAUGAGCCAGCAGUGUGUGCUUGCAGCCAAGAACAGCAACAGCAUCUUGGGCUGCGUCAGCAGAGGGGUGGACAGGAGGAAGAAGGAGGAGAUUGCCCCCCCUCUACUCUGCUCUCAUGAGGCCCCAUGAGCUCACUGUGCCCAGGCCCAGGGCCCCCAGUACAGGAGGAAUGUGGAGCUGUUGGAGUGGGUCCAGGGGAGGGCCAUGAAGAUAGUCACAGGCUGGAGUGCCUCUCCUGUGAAGAAAGUUUGAGUGAGUUGAGCUUGUUCGGCUUGGAGAAGGCUCCAGGGAGACCUCAUUGUGGCCUUCCAGUACUUGGAGAGAGCCUAUAAGCAAUGGGGAGACAAACUUUACACAGUCUAAUAGUGAUAGGACAAGGGGGAAUGCUUCUAAACUAAAAGAGGAGAAAUGAUAUCAAGAAGAAAUUCUUCACUCAGAGGAUUGUGAUGCACUGGGACAGGCUGCCCAGAGAAGUUGUGGAUGCUCCAUCCCUGGAGGUGUUCAAGGCCAGGUUGGAUGCGGCCCUGGGCAGCCUGAUCUGGUGAGUGGCAUCCAUCCCAUGGCAGAGAGGUUGGAACCAAAUGAUCUUUAAUGUCACUUCCAACCCAAGCCAUUCUAGUAUUCUGUUUCAAUACAAGAUCUGUUCAGUUUAUGAGUGUGUCUCAUCCUGAGUUUGCAUAAACGUGAUUUCAGAGGGUUCACUGCAUGGUGGUAGCUUUCUCUGCUUCAUUACUGUGCAGAGAGGUUUUGAGACCACUACUAACAAUAAUGAAAAUGUUUAUACCUUUAGUCCCAGACAUGUUGAUGCUACUUCAGAAACAUUGGAGUGUUGUCCAAAUGUAACAAAGAGUAUUAAUUUGGAAGAGGAAACCAGUGAAAGGAAGAGUAAAGAAUUAAGACUAAGACACUUGCGGUGCUACUUCGCUGCUUAUUAUGGGAGCCCUUGCCAGUGACUGAGGAGUGUAUGAGUCAGUUAAAAGCACCACGAUGCUGCAGAGAAUGGUUUGCAAUUAUAAGAGAGAGAGUAGAAUUGAUUUCCACUGUACUUACAGUCACAAGAGAGUUGCACAUUAAGUUUUUUUCCUUUGUAAACUAUAGUUCACAGUAAGUUUGUCUAAGGGAUCUUUUGGACCCUACCUCCUUUUUCAAGUUAUGUAACUCGUAGUAUCUUUGUAAUUGAUUAAAACUGAUUACAAGCAUGGGUUAAGUUUGCUCAAAUACGAGCUUAAAUGAAAUGAGCUGCUUGAUGUCACUGCAUUGCUCAUUGGCAAAACCCCAUUUCCUCUCCAUUGACUUUAGUAGCAAAUUGCUUCCAAAUUAAAAUAGAAGCGUGGGAGUCAGAAUCGAAGAUUUUUCAGUCUUGUGAUCACAAACCCUUAAUGCAGCAGUGUGGUACCUGCAAGGGAGAGUCGCAGGAGCUGCUGGUCUUCUCUCAAUAGGACAGUCAGGCCAGGACAUCAUCUGCGCCCAGAACUCCCCACACCUCUCUUUGCCCUCACAUUUUUUUCACCACUGCACGUUCACAACUUUCCCACAUCUCUGUUCUUCAGAUUUUGCAAAAAUUCGGGGUUUCAGUGGCUUGCUGGGACUUUCAUAUGUUGCACAACCCUUUCCUGGUAAGGAAAUGGAGGAAGAAAUUGUAAUUUAUAACUGUCAGUGCACUCAUGAGUGUAGUGUUUGUGUCAGUACAAUGUAAUAAUACAGAAUCAGAUAAGUUUGUAAACAGUACUUCUUCUCUUACAACCAUCCACCCUCCUGUACGUAUGAACUCUGAUUUCCCUUCAAUCUGCUUUAUGAAGCUGGCAAAUCAGACUUGCUUUUGCAACUUUGCAUCACAACUGCCUCUUCUGGUGUUUUGUUUUUAAAUCAAAGAAAUACACAUUUCAGAGUUUCUUUACCUUCUCAGUUAUGCUGGGUGUUUAGUCUGCUCUUUCUGCCCUCCUUUUAGUAGCUACAGAUGUUUUCCACUUGUGUUAUUUUCUGCUUGUUGUUUCUGCAUGGAGAAUACCUCUUCUUUUCCUGUCCAACAAGCUGCCCUGCUUGGCAGCCCAAGGUGCUUGAAGCCCCUUGGCCCGGGAAAGCUGUGUUUCAUGCAUUCCUUCACAGAACCCGCUUCUCUCAGGUGGCCCCUGCUCAGUGCUCCCUCAAUCUGGCUCAUUCACAUCAAGCAUGCUGGAGAAGAUAAUGGAUUUCAGAAGAAUCAGUGAGUGCUUGUUGCCUUUACCUUCUAACUGCUGGUUUUCUCUGUUAUUAAGUUUGCUACCUACUGGCAACCUGCUUCAGUCUUCUGAGUACCUUUUGCAAGUAGACCCUCACCCAGUCACGGUCCCUGUUUCCAAACUGACGUCCUUAACACGUGGUGAUGUUUCAUCAGCUCUCACUUUAACCUCCCACUGACAUUAUUUUCUCUUCUCAGCCACCACAUUCUGUCCAGUUACUUUUCCAUCUCAGAUCCUUGUGCUGCUUCUGCUGUGAUUUGCGUAGAAAAGCCUACAUACUUUGUGACAAAGCUGCUACGACAAUGUACGUUUUGUUAAUUUAUGUUACCACAGCAACUGAGUCAUGCGAAAAUGUAAUGUCACGUUGUUUGAUGCUGUAUCUCAGUGUGCUCAGGGAAACGGGCUCUGUGUAGAGCUGCUGUGAAACUGGGGCUGAACUGGUUGGGUAUCAUUUCUGUAGUGUGGGUGUCGGGGGUUGUGGCAGAAUGGAUGCAACCUGUAGGAUCCUCCAGCAAUCCAAACCUGGUUCUGCUCUGUUCUGGGAGGAAAUGCAGAUAUGCUGGAGGAGGGGGCUUAGGUCUUGACAAACACAAAUCUGGUCCAGGAAACAAGGCACAGCCUGGGGGGACAAAAGCAGGCUGUUGAACUCAGACAGGUGUUAAAAAUCAGACAAACUCAGGGAUAGGAGCAACUGGUGAAAAAGUGACUGUCAGAAAGAGGUGUGGAGUUGACUGUAAGUCACAAGCUGAACAUGAAUCAGCAACAUGUGUUUGUAGGGAAAAUAGUAAAAAUCCCAGGCAGAUAUGCAUGCGGGAAGAGAUCCAUGCUCAGCGCAGUGUUGUAGAUCGGUAUCAGAGCUGGGUUUGUGCACCAGAGCCCAGAAGGUUGUGAACCAACAGGAGACAGUGCAGGUGGCAGUAACAGUGAGCAGAGGGCUGAGGAGACCAAAUGGGCUGGAGCUGCUGGGUAAAGAGGGCAGAGGAAACAUGCUAAGAGACUUCAUGUGCUUAAAAAGCCAUUGAGAGAGGAAGGGAAUGAUCUACUCUUGGUAGAUAAAGUAAGCUGUAAUGGACUUAAAUUUCAUCAUGGAAGAAAAGCUUUUUUAAUGGUAACAUUAGUGAGGCACAGCGUUAUGUUGCUGAGAGUAUAGUUGUGUCUCCAUUACUGCAUGUCUUUAAGUAUGUACUGGACAAGUAGAAAGUACUAUUGAUCUGACGUUGGAUUUGGAGGAUGGAUGAGAUGACCAAUCAAGAUCCAUCCCAGCCCUAUCUUGCUGUGAUUGCACGUACUCCGAGGCUCCUCAUUAAUCACCAUUCCUUUACCCAGUCCCAUUUUACAUUGUCUUCUUUCUAAGUAAUGCCCUCCAAAGUCAUUCCUGUGUCCUGUGCAAAAAAUAUUUUGUCCCAUUUUCCUCAGGGUGUAGUCAAAGACUCGAGCCUUUCUUUUCCUGGCAGCCUGCCACAGACCCAGGUUGGUGACUUGUAUUGCAGUGAGUUGCUGAGGUAACUGAUAAUUUACUGUGAGUCAAACAUACAAAAAAUUAUUUAGAUGGCUGUUUCAGUCUGUUCAAACCCUACACAAUAUUAACAUGAAUUUAGGCUCUUCAGACAUAUACUCGAUAAAAUUACUCCAUUUGUAAAAUGUAUUUGUAACCCAAAACUCAUCUCAUGCUCACUAUCUUAAUUUCCUCUGUUUUCACUACCAGGAACCCAUAGAGGCUUCAGUGAACAGUGCCAUGUUCUUUAUUUUCUAGGCAAGACUUUUUUUUUUUUCUUUUUUCAGUGAUGUAUGUUAAAAAAUGUAGUUUAAUACCCAGGUAUACAUUUCAAUUUAACACAAAUACCUUAUAUGGUGAACAGUGGGCAUUUGUUUACUUGUUAGAUCCGAUCAACAGACAGCAUGCCUGAUAGGUUUUCUGUUUUUCUCCCCGUAUUAUCUAGUCUAAUUAGAUAUUGCUUCUUUCUACAAACUGUUGCUGUUACAGGCUUAAAUCAACAUGUCACUGAGAGUGGACUCACAGACGUUUUGGGCACCCUGGAAUAAAAAGGUUAUGGUAGUAAUCGCUAGUGCUUAAUGCAUUGCUUUUAGAGCUUUUAAAGACAGCGUACAUCAGGAGUUUAAACUUGCCUUUUUCCCUCUUAAAGAUAACUUUGCAAAUUGGAUAGUCAUUUUAUCCUUUAAAGAAUGAGGAUUUUCUUCCUGUACUCGAUGCCCAUUAAAGAUUAGAAGUGUGCUUUUGCACACAUGGCAUGUAUUGCCUGUUUCAUUUACCUGCACAGGCCCAUAUGCUUGCACUUGUGCUGAUCGCUGUAUUCAUACUUUAGUGGAAAAAGAAGCAGGGAAUAAAGUGGCAAAAUGUCAUGA